rnacentral:tRNA from 1 species
UGGGGAAUAGCUCAGUGGUAGAGCAUGUGCUUUGCAUGCAUGAGGUCCUGGGUUCAAUGCCCAGUACCUCUA